rnacentral:rRNA from 1 species
UACGUAGGGGGCAAGCGUUGUCCGGAAUCACUGGGCGUAAAGGGCGCGUAGGUGGCGCGGGCAGUCAACGGUGAAAGUUCGGGGCUCAACCCUGAAUCGGCCGUCGAUACUCCCGUGCUCGAGCACUGUAGAGGCUCAUGGAAUUCCGGGUGUAGCGGUGGAAUGCGUAGAGAUCCGGAAGAACACCGGUGGCGAAGGCGGUGAGCUGGGCAGUAGCUGACACUGAGGCGCGACAGCGUGGGGAGCAAACAGG